rnacentral:rRNA from 1 species
AAAAGCGCAUGUGCUGUGAGCUCGAUGAGUAGGGCGGGACACGUGGUAUCCUGUCUGAAUAUGGGGGGACCAUCCUCCAAGGCUAAAUACUCCUGACUGACCGAUAGUGAACCAGUACCGUGAGGGAAAGGCGAAAAGAACCCCGGCGAGGGGAGUGAAAAAGAACCUGAAACCGUGUACGUACAAGCAGUGGGAGCACAGGUUUACCUGUGUGACUGCGUACCUUUUGUAUAAUGGGUCAGCGACUUAUAUUCUGUAGCAAGGUUAACCGAAUAGGGGAGCCGGAGGGAAACCGAGUCUUAAUUGGGCGUUAAGUUGCAGGGUAUAGACCCGAAACCCGGUGAUCUAGCCAUGGGCAGGUUGAAGGUUGGGUAACACUAACUGGAGGACCGAACCGACUAAUGUUGAAAAAUUAGCGGAUGACCUGUGGCUGGGGGUGAAAGGCCAAUCAAACCGGGAGAUAGCUGGUUCUCCCCGAAAGCUAUUUAGGUAGCGCCUCGUGAAUUCAUCUCCGGGGGUAGAGCACUGUUUCGGCUAGGGGGCCAUCCCGGCUUACCAACCCGAUGCAAACUGCGAAUACCGGAGAAUGUUAUCACGGGAGACACACGGCGGGUGCUAACGUCCGUCGUGAAGAGGGAAACAACCCAGACCGCCAGCUAAGGUCCCAAAGUCAUGGUUAAGUGGGAAACGAUGUGGGAAGGCCCAGACAGCCAGGAUGUUGGCUUAGAAGCAGCCAUCAUUUAAAGAAAGCGUAAUAGCUCACUGGUCGAGUCGGCCUGCGCGGAAGAUGUAACGGGGCUAAACCAUGCACCGAAGCUGCGGCAGCGAC